UUUACGAGUAAAUUACACCAAGUACUUCAUAUAUUUUUUGUGGAUUUGCGGAUUUUUUAAGGAUUUUUAAGGAUUUCUGUGGAUUUUUGAAGGAUUUCUGUGGUUUUUAAAGGAUUUUUCGGAUUUUGAUGGAUUCAACGGAUUUCAUGGAUUUUUUCCGGAUUUUUUGACGAAGUGUACGGGAUUUUUGGAGUGAAUUGCCCCUCGGUUAUAUUAAACACUGGCUACACUGCAGUUACUUAAAGCGAAAGUUUUAAUUACGUACUAGGCAUGUCCAAAGGUCGCAUCUUCAC